CAACACAAAUUUCAACUUAAAUCAAACACUUUAUAUAUUCUCCCAUUAAUCUCAACACAAAAAUCUCAUACCAAUAAUCAUAUAUUUAUAUCAAAUAAAAUUCUCUAAACACAUUUAAUUUACGAUUACAUAUAAAAAUUUUACAUCACCCAAUUUAUUAUGUGAUAUUAUUUAGCAGAUAGCAAAAUAGUGCAGAUCAGACAACAGGUCGUCGGACGACCACUUCAGCAGACUAGAUUGGAUGACUUCUCAAGUCGGACACCACAGGUCGGACACCACUCCAAUAGACCAGGUCGAACAAUUUCAUAGAUCAGAUACCACUCCAAUAGAGCAGGUCGGAUGGCUACUCCAAGUGAUGGAGUUAGAUGACUAUUUCAGAAGAUAAGAUCGGAAGGACAUUCUACAAGACUGUUUUUCCAUCUUCGUGCUAACUACACAAAAUAACAGAAAAAUCUUUUCUCUCUCCUGACUGACAUAUUUUCUGUUGUAAUAAUAGCUGUAUAUUAUUAUGUGUACCUUUUCAGAAUAGUCGAUAAAGUUGUAUAUAAACACAUUCUUCUCAAAUUUAAAAAAAAAAAAGUGAGAGAGAGUAUUGCCUUAGCCUUUAUAUUCCGACUAAGUCCUUUUUGUUAUAUGGAUGGUAUCAGAGCACACCUGUGCUAUAUCUCAUUCUCUUGAAAACUCUAAUGGCAGAGGAUUUACUUAGAAAAACAACCUCAUAAAUCGUGAAUCAAAACAAAAAUAAAAAAGAGAAUGAGAGUGAUUUCCACAGGCUUCAAAAUUUAGAUAAUCCAUGAAUGCAACUAGUUAGUGCUCUUCUUAUUGGAAAAAAUUAUCUGUCAUGGAGCAGGUCUAUGAUGAUUGCUCUGAGGAUCAAGGAUAAACUUGGUUUUAUGGAUGGCACUUUUGAAAUGUUACUUAUCGAGUCUCUAAACUUAGAGAAAUGGAGAAAGGUGGACAGCAUGGUCACCACUUAGAUAUUAAGCUCACUGUCAAAGGAACUGAUUGAUGCAUUUGUAUAUGCACCAUUUUCUCAAAUACUUUGGGAAGAAAUUAAGGAAAAAUUCAGAUAGAGUAAUAGACCUCUCAUCUAUCAAAUCAAACAGAAGAUAAGUUCUCUCACUCAGACUAAUACCUUUGUCAUGAUUUAUUUUACUAAAAUGAAAAGAUUGUAUGUGAAUGUUGUGUAUCCAAACUGUUGGAUGAAAUUUGCAAUGAGAAUAAGUUGAUUCAAUUCUUAAUGGGCUUAAAUGACAAAUAUGAUCAUGUUAGGAAUCAGAUCUUGCUUCUGGAUUCCCUCCCAUCUAUUAAUAAAACUUACUCAAUACUGGUUAGAGUGGAAAAAUAGAGAGAAAUAUAUAGUGACACAGUGGGAGACUCCAACUCAGUUAUGAUGAUUAGAAACCAACCACAGGUUGAGAAAAUUCAAAAUAAGAAAAAGGAAUGGGCAGAAAGGAGAAUAGAACUUGUGGUUACUGUAAAAGCAAUGAUCACACAGGGGAAACAUAUUUUAAGUUUCAUGGGUAUCCAUAAUGGUUCACCGAGUUAAAACAAAAGAAGAUGAAAGAAAAAUGACUGAUUGUUGCAAGUGUGUAGGAAACACGAUGGAUGCUGAUGAUAAAAACAAUGACAAACAAAAAGGUAGUCAAGUGAAUUGGAUAAAUCUAAUCUAGUAGGAGGUGGCAAUAUAUAUAUAUAAUUAAAAUCUAGUCACAAAUAAGGCAAGCUAUGUCAAUUUCUUAGGAUUUGCAGGUAAGAAUACUAGGAACUGCCCUACUAGCAGACAUAGAAAAAAUUAUGUAUGAAUAAUAUAAUCAAGUGCAUCAACUCAUAUGUGUAGUGACCUAUCUCUAUUUCAUACCAUUUCCACAAUACCAAAUAAAAGCACUAUAACUAUACUCGAUGGAAUAUCCAAGUAUGUUUACGAUUUUUGAACCAUUGGACUUUCACCUAAAAUAAUUUUAUACAACACUUUAUAUGUUCCUCAUUUUAAACACAACUUAUUUUUAGUCAAUAGCCUUCCUAAAUUCUCUAAACUAAUAGCAAAAUUUUCUUCUGAAACAUGCUUUAUAUAAGACCGAGUGACUGAAGAGGUGCUGGCUGAAGGAAAAUAGCAAAAAGAACUCUAUAUUCUAAUAAAUAAAUCUCUUACUAGCUGUAAUAUAGUUUGUGACUUUAACACUGCUUGUAUUUUAACUACCGAGCUAAACCCCAUACAUUAAAAAAAUAAAGUUUUUCAUUAAUACUCUUAUCAAAAUUCCUAUGAAUUAUGGCAUUCAAGACUUGGUCAUACAUCACAUACAAAAUUAACUUGUAUCUUAGCCAUUCAACCAGAAAAAUAAGGAAAAUUAAGUGUGUGAAGUAUGUUCACUUUUAAAAUAACAAAGGUAAAGUUUUCAGAAAAAUAAAAUAACAAUUGAAAUUAUUUUUUUAACUAAUUCAUAUUUAUUUAUAGGAUCCGUAUUUAACUCAUUCAAUCUCAAAUAUAAAAUACAUUUUGACUAUAGUGGAUGAUUUUCCAAGAGUCACUUAGACAUACUUUUAGCAUGAUAAAUUUAAUGUGCAUAACAUCCUUCAUAAUUUUAUCAGUAUGAUACAAAUUCAAUUUCAUAAAAAGAAUCAAAGUAAUAAAAUCGGAUAAUGGAAUAAAAUUCAUAAAUAAAUAAUGUGAAACUCUUUUUAAAACAAAAGGAAUUUUAUAUCAAAAAAUAUAUUCAUACACUCCACAACGAAAUGAUAUCGUGGAGAAAAAAUAUAAACAUUUAUUACAAGUAACAAAGGCUAUAAUGUUUGAAUCUAAACUGUCAAAAUAUUUUUGGACAAAAAGUAUAUUAACAACUACUUAUAUCAUAAACAGAUUGCCAAGCUUUAUUUUGUAUUGAAAAACCUCUUAUGAAAUACUUUUUGGACGAAUGUCGACCUAUAAACAUUUAAAAAUCUUUAACUGUAUAUUUUUUUUGUUACAAAUACAAGGUCUAAAAAGGAUAAAUUUAAAUAAAAGUAAUGCGGAGCAAUUAAUUUUAAAUUUCAUAAAAUACUUGAACCGAAUUUAACUGUUUUUUACGAGGUCUGUUGAAGGCCUAAAAGAAUCUUUAAAAAAAAAAUAUCGAGAUGGACGACUUUCAGAAAUUUAACAAUAAGGUAUUUACACUUAAAUUUAUAAAUUAUUUUAAUUUCACAAAUUUACCUUUACCCUUUUAUAAUUUUAACCGAUUUACAAUUUAACACUUAAAAUUUACAUUAAAUAUUAUUUUUCAUCAUAUAUAUUUAUUAAAUUGUCAUACCACAUUUAAUAUAAUGAGUUAAAUCUCAUUUUACUUUUAAAUUUGGAUUAAUCCUUAUAAUUUUAUUUAAAUUUCUCUUCUAAUCUAAAAACUUUCUCAAAUUCUCAUUCAACAUCUCAUUCAAUUUAUAACUCAAUUACUUUAACUUAAUUUUUAUAAUUCAUAAUUUUUAUCCUUUAUAACUUUGUAAAAAUUUCUAUUUAACUCAAAAACUUCUUUAUUUUUUUCGUCAUUCUUAUUUAUAAAACUAUUUAUUUAAUAUAUUUAUAAUACUUUUAACUCGUAAUUUUUAAAUUCUCCUUAAAAUUUUAGCUUUACUUCUCUUUUACCCUUUCUUUUUUUUUUUUCUUAAAAUUCCACUUUAAUACUUUUCUUUAACAUUUAACAUUAAAUAAAAUAUAUCAAUUUCUCAAACAUACUUCAUUUCCUUGACAAUUUUAGCUAACUCCUCUUCUUUCCUUCAGAAUUUUCAUCUUAAUCUAAAAGAAUUUUAAUAUCUUUAUUUUAAUCCAAAUUACUAUUUUAACAUGUAAAGUUUUAAGUCCAAAUAAUUUCUAUAAGUUUUAUAAUUAAAUCUUUUCUUGAAUUUUGAUCAAAUUACAUAUUGAUACUAAGAUUUUCAUUUUAUCAUUUUCUUCAUUUGUUCUAACUUCAAAUAUUCACUAUAAUUCAAGUACUAUUUAUUUGAUUCAAUUUCUCUAAUAUAACAAAAAUUCAAAUUAAAUAUAAUUGAAAAAUUGAGUAUUAUUUAAGAAAAAUUGAGGACAAAUCUUUUUCUUCAAAAUCUCCACAAUUUCUUCCCUUCUUUUUCCUUUCAAAGUUCCCCUUUCUUUUCCUUUCAAAUUUCCCAAAUUCUUCUCAAUUUAAUUUUCAUGAAUCAUAAAAAAAUAAAUAUAAUUUCUCUCUUAAUAAUUCUUAUAAAUACAAUAAUAAAUACUUAUAAAUUAAAAUCUCCAACAUACCUUUAAAAUUCUUAUACCGAUCACUAUUUCGUCUUUCUCCAACUUUAAAAUCUCUCUUCAAUUUCUAUUCUUUUCUUAUUUAUCUAUCAAAAAAAUAGUUUGGGUGUAGUGAAGAUUUAACUUUUGGGUAGCAAUGGAGAAUUUUUAUUGUAAGCAAAAUGGAAGAUGGAGGAAGUAUCUCUUCCUUCGGCAAGAAAAGAGGAAAGUAGAAGAAGAUAGGUCAGGUUUUUCA
rnacentral:lncRNA from 1 species